CACAAUUGCAUAGGCUCCUCAAGGGUGGUCGGCUCAUCCCCUGGUGAAAGGGGGUGAGAAUCAGUAUGACGGAUUACCAAUGGCUCACUGUGAUGAUUGGAUUUGGCUCACUAAUUGCUGCGGUCAUAUUCGGUGUGCUGUCUGUGGUCAUCGCCAUACUUAACCUACUAAAAAAGAAGUAGACCUCCCUUGAGCUUCCCGGCCAAGGAGGUCUACUUCUUGCCACUUUUUCGAGCCGAUACCCUUUUGGGGUAAUCAAUUGUGCAAAUGACCGUAGGUGUUGGUAGCACCUAUG
rnacentral:sRNA from 1 species